UACGGAGGGGGCUAGCGUUGUUCGGAAUUACUGGGCGUAAAGCGCGCGUAGGCGGAUGUUCAAGUCGGGGGUGAAAUCCCGGGGCUCAACCCCGGAACUGCCUCCGAUACUGGACGUCUGGAGGACGGGGAGAGGCGAGUGGAAUGCCGAGUGUAGAGGUGAAAUUCGUAGAUAUUCGGCGGAACACCCGUGGCGAAGGCGGCUCGCUGGUCCGAUACUGACGCUGAGGUGCGAAAGCGUGGGGAGCAAACAGG
rnacentral:rRNA from 1 species